UACGUAGGGUGCAAGCGUUAAUCGGAAUUACUGGGCGUAAAGCGUGCGCAGGCGGUUUGUAAGCCAGAUGUGAAAUCCCCGGGCUUAACCUGGGAAUGGCAUUUGGGACUGCAAGGCUUGAGUGCGGCAGAGGAGACUGGAAUUCCUGGUGUAGCAGUGAAAUGCGUAGAUAUCAGGAGGAACACCGAUGGCGAAGGCAGGUCUCUGGGCUGACACUGACGCUCAUGCACGAAAGGCGUGGGGAGCAAACAGG
rnacentral:rRNA from 1 species